UCCUUCUAAGAUUUCGGACACUGGAGCAUUAUUAACUAUGGCCCUUGCUGAUAUGCUGUCCCGAUCACCUGUUCCUGGAAUCAAGAGAGCUUCAGGCACGAGUGACGUCGAGAUCCAUGCCGUCAUGGUCGUAUCAGCACUCCUGAGGCAAGGUCAUGAGUAAAUUCUACCAAUUGCGUCCUACAAGAAAAGCCCUGCCAGAAGCCAUGCUGACAAGGAUGAAGAAAGUUAUUGGCAACAAGUCAUGAAGCUUCGGCGAAAGUUUGAUAUAGGGACAGGAGCAGCCGCAAGGGGUGCCCUCGCCCACGGCGGGGCAUAGGAGCGGCCACGGCGCUGCAUUAGUACGACAUACGCUGGAGCUGUGAAAUGU